AUAUCAAUAAGCGGAGGAAAAGAAACCAACAGGGAUUACCUUAGUAACGGCGAGUGAAGCGGUAAAAGCUCAAAUUUGAAAUCUGGCUUCAGCCCGAAUUGUAAUUUGUAGAGGAAUGUUCGGCGACGUCUAGGUCUGAUUUUUCUGGAAGGAAAAGCCAAUGAGGGUGAGAGCCCCGUACGACUGAUGACUGAACCAUGUGUACAUCCUUCGAAGAGUCGAGUUGUUUGGGAAUGCAGCUCUAAAUGGGUGGUACAUUUCACCUAAAGCUAAAUAUAGGCAAGAGACCGAUAGCGCACAAGUA
rnacentral:rRNA from 1 species